rnacentral:rRNA from 1 species
AUGGCGUCGUCCCCGGUCUCCUACUGGUGCUACCACUGCAGCCGCUUCGUGCGGGUCUCCCCGGCCACCGUCGUCUGCCCCGACUGCGACGGCGGCUUCCUCGAGCAGUUCCCGCACCCGCCGCCGCCGCGCGGCGGCGGCGGCAGCGGCCGGCGCGGGGCCAUGAACCCCGUGAUCGUGCUGCGGGGCGGCUCGCUCUCCGGCUUUGAGCUCUACUACGAGGACGGCUCCGGCGACGGGCUGCGGCCGCUGCCCGGCGACGUCUCGCACCUCCUCAUGGGGUCCGGCUUCCACCGCCUGCUCGACCAGUUCUCGCGGCUGGAGGCGGCCGCGCCGCGCCCGCCGGCCUCCAAGGCCGCGGUCGAGUCGAUGCCUUCCGUGACCGUCGCCGGGGGAGGCGGGGCCCACUGCGCGGUGUGCCAGGAGGCCUUCGAGCCCGGCGCCGCGGCCCGGGAGAUGCCGUGCAAGCACGUCUACCACCAGGACUGCAUCCUCCCCUGGCUCUCCCUCCGCAACUCCUGCCCCAUCUGCCGCAGCGAGCUUCCGGCGGCGGCCGUGCCUGAGGCGGAGGCGGACGCCGGGCUCACCAUCUGGCGACUCCCCCGCGGCGGAUUUGCCGUCGGAAGGUUCGCCGGCGGGCCCAGAGAGCAACUGCCGGUUGUCUACACGGAGCUGGAUGGUGGUUUCAGCAACGGCGUCGGGCCGAGGCGGGUGACAUGGCCAGAAGGAGAAGGGCAGGUGGACGGCGGCGAAGGUCGGAUUCGCCGUGUAUUUAGGAACCUGUUUGGGUGCUUUGGCCGGGGCGGCCGGCCCGAGAGUUCCUCGCAGUCCCGUAGUGGCUGA